rnacentral:rRNA from 1 species
GUUUGAUCCUGGCUCAGGAUGAACGCUAGCGGCAGGCUUAACACAUGCAAGUCGAGGGGUAUAGUUCUUCGGAACUAGAGACCGGCGCACGGGUGCGUAACGCGUAUGCAAUCUACCUUUCACAGAGGGAUAGCCCAGAGAAAUUUGGAUUAAUACCUCAUAGUAUGUAUGAAUGGCAUCAUUUAUACAUUAAAGUCACAACGGUGAAAGAUGAGCAUGCGUCCCAUUAGCUAGAUGGUAAGGUAACGGCUUACCAUGGCAACGAUGGGUAGGGGUCCUGAGAGGGAGAUCCCCCACACUGGUACUGAGACACGGACCAGACUCCUACGGGAGGCAGCAGUGAGGAAUAUUGGACAAUGGGCGCAAGCCUGAUCCAGCCAUGCCGCGUGCAGGAUGACGGUCCUAUGGAUUGUAAACUGCUUUUGUACAGGAAGAAACACUGGUUCGUGAACCAGCUUGACGGUACUGUAAGAAUAAGGAUCGGCUAACUCCGUGCCAGCAGCCGCGGUAAUACGGAGGAUCCAAGCGUUAUCCGGAAUCAUUGGGUUUAAAGGGUCCGUAGGCGGUUUAGUAAGUCAGUGGUGAAAGCCCAUCGCUCAACGGUGGAACGGCCAUUGAUACUGCUAAACUUGAAUUAUUAGGAAGUAACUAGAAUAUGUAGUGUAGCGGUGAAAUGCUUAGAGAUUACAUGGAAUACCAAUUGCGAAGGCAGGUUACUACUAAUGGAUUGACGCUGAUGGACGAAAGCGUGGGUAGCGAACAGGAUUAGAUACCCUGGUAGUCCACGCCGUAAACGAUGGAUACUAGCUGUUGGGCGCAAGUUCAGUGGCUAAGCGAAAGUGAUAAGUAUCCCACCUGGGGAGUACGUUCGCAAGAAUGAAACUCAAAGGAAUUGACG